CUAAAACGUCCGUAGCCGGUUUGAUACAUUCGUGGGUAAAUCAACCAGCUUAACUGGUUAGGUUCAGCGAGGACGGCCAGACUUGGGACCGGGAGAGGUGUGUGGUACUCUCAGGGUAGGGGUAAAAUCCUGUCAUCCUGAGCGGACCACCUGUUGCGAAGGCGCCACACUAGAACGGAUCCGACGGUCAGGGACGAAGCCUAGGGGCACGAACCGGAUUAGAUACCCGGGUAGUCCUAGGUGUAAACGCUGCGGACUUGAUGUUGGGGGUGCUCCGAGCACUCUCAGUGUCGAAGCGAAGGUGAUAAGUCCACUGCCUGGGAAGUACGGUCGCAAGGCUGAAACUUAAAGGAAUUGGCGGGGGAGCACAA
rnacentral:rRNA from 1 species